rnacentral:rRNA from 1 species
AUUGAACGCUGGCGGCAUGCCUUACACAUGCAAGUCGAACGGCAGCGGACCUUCGGGUGCCGGCGAGUGGCGAACGGGUGAGUAAUGUAUCGGAACGUACCUUUCAGUGGGGGAUAGCGUAGCGAAAGUUACGCUAAUACCGCAUAUUCUGUGAGCAGGAAAGCAGGGGAUCGCAAGACCUUGCGCUGAUUGAGCGGCCGAUAUCAGAUUAGCUAGUUGGUGAGGUAAAGGCUCACCAAGGCGACGAUCUGUAGCGGGUCUGAGAGGAUGAUCCGCCACACUGGAACUGAGACACGGUCCAGACUCCUACGGGAGGCAGCAGUGGGGAAUUUUGGACAAUGGGCGCAAGCCUGAUCCAGCCAUGCCGCGUGAGUGAAGAAGGCCUUCGGGUUGUAAGGCUCUUUCGGCCGGGAAGAAAUCGCAUGGGUUAAUACCCUGUGCGGAUGACGGUACCGGCAUAAGAAGCACCGGCUAACUUCGUGCCAGCCGCCGCAGUAACAC